rnacentral:lncRNA from 1 species
GGAGAGUUUCUGUCACAUAGUAGUAAAGUUCUUAUAUCAAAUAUGCUUCAAAGUAUUCCUGUAUAUUUACUUUCUACUCUUGUUCCAACAAAGCUCAUAAUGCAGAAAACUCAAUGAUUUUUUUGCAAUAUUCUUUUGAAAUAAUAAGGACAACGGGUAGAGAAGGCAUCAAGUAAAGUGGAAAGACCUAUGUCUUCCUAAAAAUGAAGGUGGAUUUGGAUUUAGAUUUCUCUUUAAUGUAUCAAAGGCAUUUUUUGCAAAUUUA